UACACUUCCAGUCCCUAUUUCCAUUUCUUCUCUUUUCACUCCAAUCACCUAUUCCCAGUCUCCCUCUCUCUCCCAACCCCUCCUUUCUCAACCCCCACUGCCAGACUCCUCAUCUCCUCCGGCACCACCGCAAGUAGGAGCUAUGAGAAGAAGAAAAAAAGGAGAACUGAUGGAAAAUGCUCAGAUCUCUCUCUCUUUCCCUCUGUUAACCUCAUAUAUGAACUCGUGAUGCCAAAUCCCCAGGAUCUUUCAAACCCAACAGAAAAUUGAGCCAAGAAGUUUCGAUAUUUCUCAACAAAUUAAACACACUAAGAAUCCGUAACAGAUCAAAAUAGAACCCACUCACUUCGGUUCUGCUUCUAGAUUUGGUCAAUUUCUUGCUUUUUGGGUACUAGGUUUCCGGUCUCGGAAGCUUGUAUAUCAGUUCAUGCAUUACAGACCUGCAAGUAUAUAUGUUUUGCCUCUUCUGUGAGAUUAGUGUUUGAAUCGGACGAGUUGGCUCUGUCCCAUGGAUUUGGUGGUAUUAAGGAAUUCAAAUGGACCGGAGAUUUGGUGGUAUUGGUGACAGCAGAUGUAGUGGUAUUGGGAAUUGAAAGGACAAUAAAUUGAGAGACCAAAAAAUAAAUAUGUAACUAUAAAUAAUAUAGGGCCUCAAUGAGGCCUAAAAUUUGUGGCCUCAAAUCCUAGGUGUCAUGCCAUGUAAGCAAAUACAAAUUUUAUUUUCAAAUCCACAUAAUAAAUCUUGUCACGUCAUACUAUUGCAACACCAAUUUUACCCUUUUAUAUUUCCUUCAAGAU